rnacentral:rRNA from 1 species
UACGGAGGGUGCGAGCGUUAAUCGGAAUUACUGGGCGUAAAGCGCACGCAGGCGGUUUGUUAAGCUAGAUGUGAAAGCCCCGGGCUCAACCUGGGAUGGUCAUUUAGAACUGGCAGACUAGAGUCUCGGAGAGGGGAGUGGAAUUCCAGGUGUAGCGGUGAAAUGCGUAGAUAUCUGGAGGAACAUCAGUGGCGAAGGCGACUCCCUGGCCAAAGACUGACGCUCAUGUGCGAAAGUGUGGGUAGCGAACAGG